GAUGAACGCUGGCGGCGUGCCUAAUACAUGCAAGUCGAACGAAACUUCUUUAUCACCGAGUGCUUGCACUCACCGAUAAAGAGUUGAGUGGCGAACGGGUGAGUAACACGUGGGCAACCUGCCCAAAAGAGGGGGAUAACACUUGGAAACAGGUGCUAAUACCGCAUAACCAUAGUUACCGCAUGGUAACUAUGUAAAAGGUGGCUAUACUACCGCUUUUGGAUGGGCCCGCGGCGCAUUAGCUAGUUGGUAGGGUAAAGGCUUACCAAGGCAAUGAUGCGUAGCCGAAUUGAGAGGUUGAUCGGCCACAUUGAGACUGAGACACGGCCCAAACUCCUACGGGAGGCAGCAGUAGGGAAUCUUCCACAAAGGGCGAAAGCCUGAUGGAGCAACGCCGCGUGGGUGAAGAAGGUCUUCGGAUCGUAAAACCCUGUUGUUAGAGAAGAAAGUGCGUGAGAGUAACUGUUCACGUUUCGACGGUAUCUAACCAGAAAGCCACUGCUAACUACGUG
rnacentral:rRNA from 1 species